AGGACAGUAGCUCAAUUGGUAGAGCACCGGUCUCCAAAACCGACGGCUGUGGGUUCGAGUCCCUCCUGUCCUGCCA
rnacentral:tRNA from 1 species